rnacentral:rRNA from 1 species
AUACAGAGGGUGCAAGCGUUAAUCGGAAUUACUGGGCGUAAAGCGCACGUAGGCGGAAUGUUAAGUUAGAGGUGAAAUCCCAGGGCUCAACCCUGGAACUGCCUUUAAUACUGGCAAUCUAGAGACCGAGAGAGGUGAGUGGAAUCCCGAGUGUAGAGGUGAAAUUCGUAGAUAUUCGGAGGAACACCAGUGGCGAAGGCGGCUCACUGGCUCGGUACUGACGCUGAGGUGCGAAAGCGUGGGGAGCAAACAGGAUUAGAUACCCGGGUAGUCC